UACGUAGGGUGCAAGCGUUAUCCGGAAUUAUUGGGCGUAAAGAGCUCGUAGGCGGUUUGUCGCGUCUGCUGUGAAAACCCGAGGCUCAACCUCGGGCCGCAGUGGGUACGGGCAGACUAGAGUGCGGUAGGGGAGAUUGGAAUUCCUGGUGUAGCGGUGGAAUGCGCAGAUAUCAGGAGGAACACCGGUGGCGAAGGCAGCUCACUGGGACGAUACUGACGCUGAGACGCGAAAGCGUGGGGGAGCAAACAGG
rnacentral:rRNA from 1 species